GCGCUAGUGGUUUAAUGGUAAAAUCGAUCCUUGCCAUAGAAUGAUUCAUAUAGGUCUACAGCUUGGAUUGGCUCCGUGUUCGAUUCACGGCUAGCGCA